rnacentral:rRNA from 1 species
AUUGAACGCUGGCGGCAUGCUUUACACAUGCAAGUCGAACGGUAACAGGCCUUCGGGUGCUGACGAGUGGCGAACGGGUGAGUAAUGCAUCGGAACGUGCCCAGAGGUGGGGGAUAACGCAGCGAAAGCUGUGCUAAUACCGCAUGUGAUCUGAGGAUGAAAGCGGGGGACCAGGCAGCAAUGUUUGGCCUCGCGCCUUUGGAGCGGCCGAUGUCAGAUUAGGUAGUUGGUGGGGUAAAGGCCUACCAAGUCGACGAUCUGUAGCUGGUCUGAGAGGACGACCAGCCACACUGGGACUGAGACACGGCCCAGACUCCUACGGGAGGCAGCAGUGGGGAAUUUUGGACAAUGGGCGCAAGCCUGAUCCAGCAAUGCCGCGUGCGGGAAGAAGGCCUUCGGGUUGUAAACCGCUUUUGUACGGAACGAAAAGGCUCUGGCUAAUACCUGGGGCUGAUGACGGUACCGUAAGAAUAAGCACCGGCUAACUACGUG